GAUGAACGCUAGCGGCGCGCUUAAUGCAUGCAAGUCGAGCGAUGAGGCCCCUUUGGGGGUACAUCAGCGGCAGACGGGUGAGUAACACGUGGAUGACCUGCCCCGAAGACGAGGAUAACGGAUGGAAACAUCUGCUAAUACUCGAUGGUCUUAUACAGUCGAAAGUAUAAGUAAAGCUCCGGUGCUUCGGGAGGGGUCUGCGGCCUAUCAGCUAGUUGGUAGGGCAACGGCCUACCAAGGCGAAGACGGGUAGGGGGUGUGAGAGCACGGCCCCCCACAAUGGGACUGAGACACGGCCCAUACUCCUACGGGAGGCAGCAGCAGGGAAUAUUGCACAAUGGACGGAAGUCUAAUGCAGCGACGCCGCGUGGAUGAUGAAGGCCCUCGGGUUGUAAAAUCCUUUUCAUAGGGACGAGGAAGGACGGUACCUUUGGAAUAAGCGUCGGCUAACUACGUGCCAGCAGCCGCGGUAAGACGCAGGACGCGAGCGUUAUCCGGAUUUACUGGGCGUAAAGCGUCUGUAGGCGGAGUGGAAAGUUGGGCGUGAAAGCUCCGGGCUCAACCCGGAGAGGACGUUCAAUACUACCAAACUAGAGGGCAUCAGAGGAGCGUGGAAUUUCCGGUGUAGCGGUAAAAUGCGCAGAUAUCGGAAGGAACACCAGUGGCGAANGCGGCGCUCUGGGAUGCACCUGACGCUAAGAGACGAAAGCUAGGGAGCGAACAGGAUUAGAGACCCUGGUAGUCCUAGCCGUAACGAUGGAUGCUAGGUGUAUGGU
rnacentral:rRNA from 1 species